rnacentral:rRNA from 1 species
GUGGGAGCCUCGCAAGGGGUGACUGCGUACCUUUGUAUAAUGGGUCAGCGACUUACGUUCUGUAGCGAGCUUAACCGAAUAGGGGAGGCGUAGCGAAAGCGAGUCUGAUAAGGGCGCUUUAGUUGCAGGGCGUAGACCCGAAACCAGAUGAUCUAUCCAUGGCCAGGAUGAAGGUGCCGUAACAGGUACUGGAGGUCCGAACCCACUAAUGUUGAAAAAUUAGGGGAUGAGCUGUGGAUAGGGGUGAAAGGCUAAACAAAUCUGGAAAUAGCUGGUUCUCCCCGGAAGCUAUUUAGGUAGCGCCUCAUGUAUCACUCGCGGGGGUAGAGCACUGUAAUGGUUGGAGGGGUCACUGCGAUCUACUCCGCCAUAGCAAACUCCGAAUACCGCGAAGUGCGAGCAUGGGAGACAGACGGUGGGUGCUAACGUCCAUCGUCAAGAGGGAAACAACCCAGACCGCCAGCUAAGGUCCCCAAGCCAUGGUUAAGUGGAAAACGAAGUGGGAAGGCAUAGACAGUCAGGAAGUUGGCUUAGAAGCAGCCAUCCUUCAAAGAAAGCGUAAUAGCUCACUGAUCGAGUCGUCCUGCGCGGAAGAUGUAACGGGGCUCAAACCAUGCACCGAAGCUGCGGAUGUGCGUAAGCACAUGGUAGGGGAGCGUUCUGUAGGUCUGCGAAGGUGUGGUGUAAACCAUGCUGGAGAUAUCAGAAGUGCGAAUGCUGACAUGAGUAGCGAUAAAGGGUGUGAAAAGCACCCUCGCCGAAAGCCCAAGGUUUCCUGCGCAACGUUCAUCGGCGCAGGGUGAGUCGGCCCCUAAGGCGAGGCCGAAAGGCGUAGUCGAUGGGAAACGGGUCAAUAUUCCCGUACCGAUCACAGAUGCGAUGGGGGGACGGAGAAGGUUAGCUCAGCCGGGUGUUGGAUGUCCCGGUUUAAGCGUGUAGGCGUGCUGCACAGGAAAAUCCGUGCGGCUUAGCUGAGGCGUGAUGACGAGGAACUUCGGUUCUGAAGUGAGUGAUACCCUGCUUCCAGGAAAAGCCUCUAAGCUUCAGUCUGUGAUUGACCGUACCGCAGACCGACACAGGUGGGCAGGAUGAAAAUUCUAAGGCGCUUGAGAGAACUCAGGAGAAGGAACUCGGCAAAUUGAUACCGUAACUUCGGGAGAAGGUAUGCCUCGGUAGCGUGAAGCCCCUGCGGGUGGAGCGUGAUGAGGUCGCAGAGAAUCGGUGGCUGCAACUGUUUAAUAAAAACGCAGCACUCUGCAAAGGCGAAAGCCGACGUAUAGGGUGUGACGCCUGCCCGGUGCCGGAAGGUUAAGUGAUGGGGUGCAAGCUCUUGAUCGAAGCCCCGGUAAACGGCGGCCGUAACAAUAACGGUCCUAAGGUAGCGAAAUUCCUUGUCGGGUAAGUUCCGACCUGCACGAAUGGCGUAAUGAUGGCCACACUGUCUCCUCCUGAGACUCAGCGAAGUUGAAAUGUUUGUGAAGAUGCAAUCUACCCGCGGCUAGACGGAAAGACCCCAUGAACCUUUACUGUAGCUUUGCAUUGGACUUUGACC